GUGCUUGCUUCAACAGCACAUAUACUAAAAUUGAAAUAAGAGAAAUUAGCAUGGCUGCUGCCCGAGAAUGACAAGCAAAUUCAUGAAAUGUUAUAUAUUUUU